ensembl:lncRNA
AUUAGGUGAUCAUUAUGGUCCUUUUCAACCCAGGCCAUUCUAUAAUUCUAUGAUACUAUUUUAUGCAAAAAACAUAUUGCUCUGUAGUUGUUAUCCAGGUUGUGGGCACGAUGUAAAAUUAUCCUGGAGGCAUUCUAAGCUAAUAGUGUUUUUUUUUUUUUUUUUUCAAGAUUCACAGUGCAAAAAUAAGUAAUCAUACCAUAGGAAGAGCUUAAUUAUAGAAUUCCUUCAUGACAUUACACUCUCCUGAAAUCCAAGGCAUAACUUAUACCACACCUAACAUUACUAAGCAUAGAGGCAAAUUACUUCAUAAAAGCAAACCUUUUGUUACUGGAUUUUCCAUCUUUCAUAUUGGUGUUCUCUUUGCCAUGUGUGGUCUGUGGAAUAAUAUUGAGGAUUUAUAUUUGAAAACGAUUCAGUUGGCUUUGUUCGAGAAACCUCCACUCUCAUCUGUUAUAACCAAAUUUCUGAAAUAAAUUACAGCCCUCUGGAGCUACAAGUGGAGAAAACAGCAGCCUUCUGAUGUCAUUUUGAUACUUAAGUGGCCUAUUGCUGUUGUAUUACUUGCACCACUGAUUAUUUGUGUUUCUUUAUUUACAACUAUAAAAUUGUUAGCUUUGCAAAGAAGAAUCUGCCUUAGGUGAAAAAUCAUGAUCCUUAGUCGUGGUUGGUCCCAGAGGGAGUGAGAAUUUCUCAGAGGAAAGAGUCACAUUUGUUUAUGCUGUUCUUCAGUGCCCUACAGAUCCAAUCCAGUGUUCAGACAAAUGGAGCUAAAUACAGUGCUUAAAUGUGCAUAUUAAACCCUUGCCAGAAGCUAUAGUUAUUAAAUAAUACCAAGAUAUCCCCCAGUUUUCCACUAAAACAGUUGGAACUGACUGCUAGGCUCAUGCUUUCUGGGCAGAUUAUUUCAAUCCUUUGGGAAAUGGAGAGCCACUCUAAGAAGUUAAUACCUCUGGGGCAGUAUAUUGGAAAGCUUCAUUUGAUCUUCUCUGACAUAUAUGACAGUAUCUCAUUUUCAAGCUGAAAAAGUCCCAUCUAUAGGUUAUGCCACCACCAACAUGCAUAAAUAAGGCUCCAAGUAGGAAAGCGAGAGUGAUGGGAUAUUGGAAUGAGUGGCAAAUGUUAUCUGAAGCUCCUAUUAGAAUACUGCUAUUAAAAGACAUGCUGACUAAGCUGUCUGGCAUAACUGCAGUAUGUUGCUGGCUUAUUCGUGCUAUUUGGCUGAAUGGAUGGUAAUUGUCAGUGCAAGGAUGGAGUCAGUAAUCAGGGAGCAAUAACAUUUCAACCUCUCUGGCAAGAUCUGUAAAAGGGCAGCUCACUGAGAUCAGUCCUCUCCGUCAAUUAACAAUGUCUCAUAAGUCUGAAGGGCUCUGAUUUUGAUGCAGCCCAGUGUAUGGAAAACAAUCUGUUUUCUCCAAGGACUCUUAAGGAAGUUGUUAUAAAAACUUACUGACAGGAAAAAAAGGAUGGGGAUACAGAAAGAAAGAAGCUCCUUCCAGAAUCCACAUCAGUCUCUUAAAAGGCUUUACUGAAAAUUGAUGCAGAUCUCUUCUGUGUGCUAGAGCUAUGCUGUAGAAUGGCUGCUGCACAACAGGAUAGGUAAAUCGAGGUACAGAUGCAGAUGGAGGUGAUUUCCUGCAAAUCUUUGGCAGCCUUGGAAAUCUGGUCCUUCUGAAGAAGGCUAUUUCCACAUAUGUUUUUUAUCAGUGAGAAAGAAUUGCUGGACUAUAUUGUUGACUCUAAUUAGACCACUGUGCCUGAGAAAGCCUUUAAAAGCAGCACCUUCUUUUCCCUGUUCCUUCAACAUUCCAAGUCUUUGUGAUACUGUUGGCUCUGGACAAUGAGAAAUAGCAUUUCAAAAUCCUUCAUUGUGCAAGGUUUUCUGUUUUGCUCUUUUUUUUUUUUUUUUUUUUUCCUGACUACAAGUAAAGGCUAUGGUAUUCUGUCAUCUUGGCAGUAUAAUAGCUGAUUCAAACUGAAAUGAGAGAAUUGGGACCACUAGGGCAGAAGUCAACAAACGUUUGCAAUCAGUGAUGCAGAUUUCUUAUCAGUAUGGGGACAAAACCUGUUUUUCACCAAAACAACUGCAAUUCCGAGCCAGAUGUUCCUUCUGGGAGCUAGUGUUCUUUGCAAAUUCUUGAUCCACAACAAUGUCCCUCUCUCUAGCAAGGAAAACAUUUCAACACUAUUUUCUUGCCUUUCCUUGAACACCAUCAGAAGAUGUGGGAAAAUCUGUGUACUGUUCUAAUGAUGUUGAGGUCUCUCUGACUUCAGGACUUUGGGAAAAUCAAUUUUCCUCAGUUAUUCCUUCGUGAAAUAGAUGCAAUAAUACUUCUGCUUUCCAUGCCACUUGGGAGAGUUGACUGAUGGCUUUAAUGGGCUUGUAGUAUCUCAGGUGGAAGGUAAGGAAGAAGUGUGUUGCACUGGUACAAAUCCAGGGGGUAGUGCUUAACAAUCUCAUCUUGCAGAGUGAAAUACAAAUCUACAAAUAUAACUUAGACCUUAUAUGAACAGUACACUGACAGCUGUUUUAAACUGUGAAGUUCUGUCCUCAUUAGGAAGAAGCAGAAUUUACAACUGUUCAUUACAAAGUUAUCUCUGGAGAAGAAAUUUUAAGUACUAAACAUCACUGUCUUUCCCUUCCUUGUCGGGAAGGUAAGACUUGACAGAGCAACUGAUAAUGACUGGUAAAACUCCACUACAACCAACAAUACAAGGGAAAAAUUUGUGUGACUUAGCUCUCAACAUUCAAGGCUUGUUUGUCAGGAAAACUUGCAGUAUAAGAAACAACAUCAAAACACCAGAAAAUUGCAUGUCUGUAAUGGAUUACAUUUUUUUUAUAGUAACAUUGUUGACAUAAUGAUGAAUCAAUGAAGGAAACAUUAAAUAUUUUAAGAAAUAAAUAAUGUAGUAAUAUAGCAUGUAGUUUUAAAGUGUAUUGACCUGGAUAUUUCAGACCUAAGCAAUCAUUUCUUGGCUCCUGUGAGAUCGUUGCUUUACUCAGAAAUUAGAGUCAUUUCGUGAGUGUGUGGAAAUAAGAAUCCUCCAUCUUAAUCAGAAAGGGAUAGAUCAAAUAUCCAGAGCAUACUUUUGUAUUUGCUGUUGGCUGAUUUGACUUAGAUUGGUAUGGUACUGUCCCGGGGCAAUAUUUUACAAUAGCCUAUUUUGCUGCCACAUGUAUUGUACUUCUCUUUACCCUUUUUUUCUAAUGAUAAUAUAGGGUUAAUCGUGCUUAAAAUCUAUUACAUUUAUUGUGUUUGUAUCAGAAAAAUUGAAUGAGGUGAGUGAAACUUUCAGAUGAAUAACGUUUAAUGUAGGCUUUAUGCAAGCCAGAGGUCUCAAUAAAAUUUUAAACCCUUUUAGUCAGCUAUUCUUCUAAUUACUUUUUAUUUCUCCUCUGCUGGAAGAGGUUUCAGGCUGUGUACAAUGAACACUUGGGUCUUUAUUUUACAUUAAUGUGUUCAAUAAAAAAAAAAUGAUACAGCUGAGUAAUGUGGAUCACAAACUAAUUUAUAUAAGCAUUGAUUGUUUCAGAGAGCUGGGGAACUUCUUUGUAUUGCUCGAUAUGACUGCAUUUCAGUAAAUGUGAAAUACAGUCAAUCUCUGUGACAGGUUUUCUGCACUUUUAGAGACCCUAAUAUGAAAGACAUUGAUUGACAAUUGGUUCUGCCACUUUCUUCCUUCCAAGUCUAAUGAAAUGAUAACCUCAAAAUGAGGUACAUGACUUCUGUCUUUCCUGUUCCAUUCACCAAGUGGCCAAUGCAGAAUACUCUGAAAUCCAGUGAGGAGCUUUCAUUGGCAACAGUGUGCAGCAAGAGCACAAGGGGUAACGGGAAAAGUGGAACACAAGAAGUUUCAUUCAAAUGUGAGAAAGAACUUCUUUACUUUAAGGGUGAGAGAGCACUGGAAUAAGCUGCCCAGAGAGCUUGUGGAGUCUCCUUCAAUGACAGUAUUCAAGACCUGCCUGGAUGUUUUUCUGUGCAACCCAGUCUACAGAGCCUCCUCUAGCAGGGGGCUUAGACUUGAUGAUCCCCAGAGGUCCCUUCCAACUUCUACAACGUGACUCUGUGAUCACUACUGUGUUAAUACCUUGGAGAUGAAAAGAUCUAUACAAAAUGUGCUAAAUUCACUCAGACACAGACAAAUCAGAAAAGUAUUCUCCAUAUUAAGCACAAGAUUGAGUAUUUGCACUUUGAUGGCUGUUAUGAACCUAGAGGUCACACUGAACUGUUAUGCCUCUAUAUUACCCUAAAGCAAUCCAUGUAUGUUAAGGCCAAAAGAUAGGAUUUCAGUUUUCUCAAUGAUGUCAGCAUGGCCAGGAUUUCUUGAUAAUUACGAGUCAGUAGAAUCUGGUGGUACUUAAGUCAAUACUUGGUCAUCAAUCCUCUAAGAUAUGCAUGCAUUUGGGAUUCCAGGUUUAUUUAAAGAUGAUCAUUGGAAAGCUUAUUCCUAGGACCUCAAACUUGGAAAUUAAUCAGAAUAUUCAGCACCCACAUUUUAAGUAUGAGGUAUUACUAUGAUGACAGAACAACUUCUGGAGGUCCAGAAUCAUAGGCGGGAUCAUUUCCCUAAUUACAAUAAUUAAAUAUCAUCAAUAUCUCCAUUAAGUUAAAGGCCAGUCAAACCUUCAGUUAAAGAAAAUUCCUGCUGCAUGGAAAUGAAUGACAGCCAAAAACAUUAUCAUCCAGAAGAAGAAAUUCUACAAGGUGAGAGAACUUGCAGGUGCUAGUUACCCUAGCUUUUCUUGGCUAGGAGGUGGCCCAGUCUUUUGUUACUGAAUGCCAUGAUAACCAGUUCACUUAUAUUUACUCAAGUACACAUGAUGUUGCUUACACAUCCAAAAUGUGACACUCCUAGCAUGCUUCCCAUUGUUUGUGAUGUCUAAUGGUCACAAUACAAGUAUAGAACAAAAGGCUCAAAUGAGAAUCUCAGUUAUACAGGCAGCAGUAAGCUGUUCACAAACAAGUAUCCUUGAAGAGAACAAAUGUAUUUCAUGUUAUAUCUUUAUACCAACAGAUACCCCAAUUUAAGAGGUUGUCCUGAACCAACAUGCCUCUGUGAAAGAUGGACAGAGUUCUCACCAAGCUGAGUAUCCACACCUAUAUGUAGAACCACAGAGGCAGCAAUAAUCAAAUGUAACAAAUAGCCACGGGCUGGGUAGCAGGCAGAUGAGGUGGAAACACCUUGGAAUUGUGGAUUUUACUUUGAAAUAUGCUGCAGCGAGUACAUUUCUGAUUAGUUCCUGUGGAAUACAUAAAAGUUGACUGGCAUGAGGACACCUGUCAAAAUUAGACAGCUGCUUUUUGGAAGUGAGGUGCUUAUCUUACAUAAGUGUACACAGAUCCUACACAAUUUUAGUGAGUAGAUUUCAUUUUGUGUUUCUCAUUUAAAUGGCAUAAAAUGCAAGACUCUUAGAGUGUAAGGAUGAAUAGAAAAUGAAAAAUUUUAUAAAGCUUUCCGGGAAUAUAAAUUUCCCUAAAUGAAGCUUAAUAUUUGAUUCAGAUAUGAAGACAUUUGGAGUAGUAAUCUGGAUUGUAGCAACGUAUUUAACAAUCUUAUAGUUGGAGAGAUGUCUUAGGAAAGUGUUGAAACAGAACUAAGUUAGAGAAUGAUUCCAGGAAAAGGAUAUCUGGGAUGAACAAAUCCAGACUUGCACAAACCUGUCAGAAAUAUGUUUUAUUGUCCAAUACAUUAUCCUCAUAUAAUUAAUAUGAAAUGAAAAUACCUUAUGGCAUGUAAUAUGUAUGCAUGCUGCAAAUCUAUUAAAAAAACAAUCCGUAUAUGGUUUAUUUGUGUUUAUGUCAAUUAAAUACUAAAAAUGGAGUUAAAGUGUAGGUGCAAUCCUAUAAAAACAGGGACAAUUUGAAUCAAUACAGCCUUAUAUCUAUUUUACUGACUGUUAGAAGUUCAGUAGUGUAAUACUCACAUUGUGAAAAAUCUAGGCAUAGCAGGCUAGUUUUUGAGUGUGCCCAUGGAAAGGGAUAACUUUGGUAUGGUGAAAUUUCCUUCCUUUGUUCCUUCCUUCCUUCCUUCCUUCCUUUCUUCCUGCCUUCCUGCCUUCCUGCUUUUCUGCUUUUCUUCCUUCUUCUAUUUCUCCUUUUCUCUUUCUGUCUUUCAUGUAAACAAAAUAUUAAUGCAUAUCGUAACAUGGAUCUGAGACACAGGAUUUUUAAAACUGGCUUGAAACUCCUCUAAAAUGUCUUAAUCACAAAAAAUCUCUUAUUUAUGCUACACUUACUGGGAUCAAGCCUAUGCUUUCAUAGUGAGCCUUCUUUCCAGAUAGCCAACAAAACAAGGCAAAAGAAGAUGCUGUGAAAGCAUCAUAAUAGUUAAUUUGUUAUCGCAAAAAGUAUUGCUGUCAUUUUUGGUGUUAUAUUCAUUUAUGGAUCACACUAUAUUUUUAACUCUCCUUUUGGGUGGGAUCUGAAAGAGUCUGUGCAGAGACCUUUUUGUGUAAUGAUCUUUAGUCAUUUUAAAAGCCGCUAUUUUCUUCCUGUGACAGAGGGGAGUGACCUCUUUUUUUGUGAAUCCUGGAAACAGAAUCAAAUAAGCUGAAGACUACAUGAAAGCCUCAACUAAAAGGGAAGCCAGAAAAGAGGGCAAUUAAAUUAUCUGAUAGUUCCACAAGGAGUACAGGCUGUAAUGCAACAAAUUAAAAAGUUUAUAGGUUCCCAGUUUGUGUGUCUGACAGCUGAUUUAAUCAAGAAAUGUGCUACAGAAAAUCUGCUCAUCAGGGACAGCAGAAGAGCAUAAGCCAGGAUAUUCCCUUGGCCUUUACAAUAGGUAAUAGUCUGUAUGGCAAAGUGGGAAGAGUUCUCUAUGUCUCCUUAUAACCAGCAAGUCGGAUGUGAGGUUGAAGGGCAGCCUUCACAGCUGAUCAGUUCUUUGGACAUCCUGUCAGGAUGUGAAGGAUAUUAUCAGUUCCAAAAUCAACAAUGUUAAUGAAUGAUUUUUUUUUUU